AUGAUUCUGCCAAGAGGAAAAAGUCAUUUGCUCUUCUUUUCAGAGUCUGGUCAUUGUGGGGAAGAAUGGGGAAAAAAAAUCCAUCUAAAGGCCAAAACUUUCUUUUGUGCCAGCACAAGAAAGAAAGUAACUUUUGGAUUUAAGGCUUGGCAGCCAACCAAGCUCCAGAGAACAACGGAAGCUGCCCAGCACCAGGCACGAGGGGCAGGCAGGUACAGGGAGAAGACCUGGAAAAAAUUGCCAGACCAACUCAAAAUCACAAAGUUUCCAGAGCUUAUAUACCUUCUAAGCCAUGUGUCUAUGUGUAAGUAUGCCUUCAUCUAAAGACAUAAGUGAUUAACAUAAAAAUAUGUUGUUUAUGUUAGGAUGUAAUAGGUUUUCUAUUUUUAUUUUUAAAUGAACUCAUAAAUGAAUGUUUUUAGAGUUAAAAAUAUGGUAAAAUUUACAGAUAUGUGGUGUUGUAUAAAAAAUACAGUUAAUAUUAGUAGAUAUAAGCCACAAAAACAAAAGUUUUCUGUAGUUCUAAGCAAUUUUUAAGCAUAUAAAGAUGUUCUGAGCCCCCAGAAUUUGAGCACUGCUGCUCUAUGCCAUGCUAGAAAGCCUGGGGAUUGUUUACUCUUGGUCAGGCACCCCCUAUUAUGAAAUCAACUGUGUCAGGGAGCAGAGGUCUGGUGGGUAGGUCUGGGGUAAGGCGUGGCCAUGACUACCCAUUCCUCAGGCCCAGGUGGGGCAGCCGUCCCUUAGAAGGAGCGGUAGGAGUAGCAGGUGCCGUGAUCAAAUGGCCAACACACCGGUCGAGUUUGGCUCAUCCUUUAGAUGCUCACAGACUCCAGGAAGCUGGUGUUUUCCUGGGCUAACGUGGCUAUGCCCUAGACCUUGCUAACCUUCACAGCCCUGUGAUUUGGUUUGGCUCUGUGUCCCCACCCAAAUCUCAUCUUGAAUUGUAAUCCCCAUGUGUCAAGGGAGGGAACUGACUGGAUCAUGGGGGUGGUUUCUCCCAUCCUGUUCUCAUGAUAGUGAGUUCUCAUGAGAUCUGAUGGUAUGAUAAUCGUCUGGCAUUUCCCCUACUUGCAGUUCUCUGUCCUGUUCCCAUGCGGAGAAGAUCCUUGCAUCCCAUUCUGCCAUGAUUGUAUGUUUCCUGAGGCUUCCCCAGCCAUGUGGAACUGUGAGUCAAUUAAACCUCUUUUAUCCAGUCUCAGGUUGUAUCUUUAUAGCAGUGCGAGAAUGGACUAAUACACCUUGACCUUAGAGGUUGAGUUAGAAUGUCCUGUUCAUAGGCGUGUCUUUAGCAUGAGAGUAUGAGUUCCUCAAUGAGAGUGACUCAUUAAUAUUUGUGCCUCCAAGUGGUAAUAUGGGGGUAAGGAAACACAUGGCCCCUACCCUCCUGAAGCUUAUAGUCUGAUGAGGAAGACCUAAACAUACUAUUGCAUGCAUGAUCAUAUAAUUACAAACUGUGGAGGAGAAGUAUAGGGUACCAUGAGAGAUUAAAACAGUGGAAUGAAAUCUAGAUUAGGGUGGUCAUGGAAGGCCUUUGCUAAUAUGAAUUUUAAGGAGACUUGAAGGAUAGCUGGAGUUAGCCAGGCAGGAACGAGCAUGGGCACACAGGGGUCAGUGUUCUUUUCUAGGCACACAGGCCAGCAUGUGCUGAGGGACUUGGGAUGUUUGAGGACUGUGAUUGGCAAGGAGGGGUAAGAGUGUAGUGUGGCCUGGGAGAAGGUUCACGUGGGAGUGAUCAGGUGCCAGAUCAUGAAAGGCCUUAGAGGCCAUAUGAGGGGCUUGGGACAUUUCUUUUUUCCUUAGUGCCAUUGGAAAGUUUUAAGCAGGGGAAUGAUGUGAUCAGACUUGGUUUUGGGUGGCUCAAUCUGGCUAUAGUAUGGAGGAUAUUCUAAAAGGGAACAGUGGGAGCUGAGACACUAGUGAGUGAUCUACUUGAUAGAUAGAUGAUAGUGGUCUGGGCUCGUGUCAUGGCAGUGAAGGAGAGAAGUGGAUGGCCUGCGAGAUAUUUUGGAGAUAAAAUAUUCUGGGCUUGGUGAAAGACUGAAUAGAGGAGAGGCAAGGGAAAGGAAAAUUCCAAAAAUGUAUCCUGGCUUUGUAGCCUGAGCAUCUGGAGAUUGGGAGUGCCUUUCUUCAAAGGGGAAGGUUGCGGAAAGAGCGUAACCAAGAGAAGAGCAAGCCUUUCCAUCUGGACUUGCUGGGUGUGAGGAGCUUUCAUUUCGGAAGACAGCUUUAGGAAAGGGGCUGGAACUCAGGCUCUGGGAAGGGGAAUGGGUGAGGCUGAAGUGUUCCUGGUGCGGGGUGGGCAUUGCCUGAGGACACACUAAGGCUCUGUAUCCAGUGUGGACCUGUGUGGGCUAUUUCCUCAUGUGGACUGAAUUUCUCUGGAAGUUUAUUCGUGUCAUCCAGCAAGUCUAGGGCUACCAUGGGGAAGGCUUGGGAGAGGCUAGCAGUUGAGGGUGGGCUCAACUACCUCGUUACAGGCUGACCACACUCCUCUUGGAGACUCUGAGUAUCUUGGAAGGUGACAUCUGAGACCCCAGGGAGAGAAGAGAGCAUGGUUAGACACUCAAUAGCCCCAUAACAAUGCUAAAAAUAAUCCGACUGUGCCCAGCUCCGCAUUCCAAGUCAUGCUUGGAAGUCAGGUAGACACCCGCCGUCUUCUGUAGCAUAUACGAUAACUGUUUCUCAGAAAUCUCAGCCAAAUCUAGGUGUUACUGCACAAACACCCUGUGCAUAAAUACAGGGGAAGACAAAUAAGUCUGAGGCUCUGGCGGAGUAGCUGAGACCAAUAGAGCAAGGGAGAGAGCUGGAAAAAUCUCAAAGUAAAGCCAGUUUUUUUCCAGUGAGCUCCAAAUGCAGUAAUCAAACAUGUGAAGGAAUGGAGACUUUGUCCUGGGCUGGGGUUGUGGUGAAAGGUCCCCUUUGAUAGAAGUGAUCUUGUUUAACCCUUUCUACCUGUUCCUGCCACUGGGUGAGGUGGCACAUAGCUUCAACUGGUGGUCACAACCCCUAGGUCUACACCAGCCCUGAAGGGAAAGGCAGUGAGACGGGGGCAGUGGGGAGAGGUUGGAGUGUGGCCUGGAAGGAUUUCAGCUGAAACAACGAUGCUAAUCCUGGGUACUUUGAAAUGUUUAAUACAAAUAUUUUAUAUAAAAUUGGUCUUAUUUGUCUCAAUAUACUCAACCUAGUGCUGGCUGGCGUAGGCAGCUGGAAUUGGGUCACUGUUUGUGGCAUUGUGCUGUGAACUGAUUUGUGGGAAUAAUGUAGAGGGGAGUAGAAAGGGGCCACAAGGAGAAUCAGCAGAGGAGGCCUGGUGAAGAAGGUGAGACUAUUAGAGGAAAGAGAAGGUGUGGUGGUGGGGGGGUGGGGGAAUGUUGGACAGAAUGGGAAGACAAGGACUGAGAAAGAAGAGCAGAGAGAGGGAUGGGAGAUUCCUGAUGGGGACCAAAAUGCAGAGGGAAAUGGAUGUCCUGGAAUUUAUGGUCGGUUCUAAUUUGAGCUGCUCUGACCCAUUUCUUUUUGUUUUUCUCCUUCUUGGGCCCCCUGCUAUAGUCUGAUUAUUCUCCUGUCCCCAGAGAGGGUGGGAAUAAACACCAUGCUCUAUAUUUUACAUUUGGAAGACUCAGCUCCUGAUUCCUUACUUAACCAACUUGUAGCCUUUCAUCAAGGUUCAGUGCAGGACCCCAGUUCCACGAAGGAUCUGAUUUCAUCUCCUUUGGUCUCUCCCUUCCCUUUGCUGAAUCUCCGAGCACUUAAGAGUCUGACUCAUACAACCUAGCCUGUGAUUCUACUGAUGCAUUCUGCCUUGCAUUUUUUCUCUAAGAUUUCCCGUUUGUGACAACAGUUCUCUAUCACUGCCACCUAUGAUACAUCCCCUACCUCCAACACCUCUUCCCUGUGAAAGAACAGCCGCCAACAGAAGCUCUAGGUUGGCUUGUCUUAGCUACCGAGCUCCUACCAUGCACAUGGCCCCAGGUUAGGUCCUGGGGUAACAGAGUUCCCUUUGACAUUCUAUUGCCCAUGGAGCAUCCACAGUUCAGGAAAGGUACCUCCUGUGGCUGAAAGAGCAUGAGAACCCAGGUGAAAGACCUAUAGGGUGCUUGGCUUUUUCAGCUACCAACCGGGGCAUACAGGCAGUUCCACUUCACUGAUUCGAACUUCAGUUUUCUCAUCUAUGAAAUGGUGCUCCCAGCUGCCAACAUCCGAAGGGUCAUAGCUACAUAAAUAAAGAAUAGGUGCGAGACGGAAUUAAAUAGAAAGUUGCAGGUGGAAAUAAAAUGGUAACGUUCAGGAGUUUUUGGUCACUUAACACGUUUAUUAAAUGUUUCGUAUGCAUCAGAACCUGUGUCAAACCCUGGUUAGAAAAUGGCGAAAGAGGUCUCUUCAUUAUCACUUGAGAUUUUGCAACAGUUGUCAGAAAGAACUAAGCAGAGCUAGACAGAUGCUUUUGAAGAAGGGGGCGCAGACU
ensembl:lncRNA